UUUAAACAAAAUAAGACAUACAAAUACUAAAUAGAAAAAAGGUCCAAAAACAAUGAACCAACCAUGGAUCCACCAUAAGUCCACAACCAAUUACAAAUCAAACAAAUCCAAAAUCAACCAAUCAUUUUCCAAGACCCAUAUUACAACAAAUCAAAGUUUAGAACGAACUAAAUAACAACAUAAAGAUGAUGGUCAACCACUACAUGUCUGCAACUCUGCACCCAUGAAACCUCUUUGUAAAACCUCACAAAAGCUAUUGCAUAAGCUUGCAGUAUCUCUCCAUCCAUGAAUGUUCCUCCAACUUGAAACUGAUAAAAUUCAAACAAAUAAAAAUUAAAAAGUAUAACUUACUUUAUAGGAAAAUACAAUUGAAAAGAGAGAUACAGUCAGUGCAAUGAAAUGCAAUGCAAUGCUGAGGUGAACCAAAUGUCAUGGAUAAGUGAUAAUACAUGACCAAAAUAUCUACAUGUAUGUGCACUAGUCUGUCAAGUACUAAGAGACUGAAUUAAACCAACACGCUACUUCAUUCCAGAAACAACUUAUGCUGAAAUGUACUGACAGAUAAAAAUCACUCUGUGUAACUGGAUCUUUCACUGUCUAGAUUUAGAUGAUUUUACUAGCAAAAAACACAAGCUGAUGUUAUACCAUCAAUCAAACAUUUCAAGCCCCUUUUUGGUAAGAAAUUGUUGUACUUAUAUAAUAUAUAUAUAUAUAUAUAUAUAUUCAGCUAGAACAUGGAUGAGUCCCACACCAUUACCUACUUGUUGUCUGUUGAGGUGAACAAAUGUUAAUGUGUCAUAUAUAUAGAUAAUAAUAUCUAGGUGUUAAGAUAAGAAGUGCACAGACCCUGUCAAGAUAUGAACACAAGCACAAGAUUCACUUACAGAAAAUCCAUAGAAGUAUGGAACCCAAAACAUCUGUAAGUAUAUUGCUCUAGUAGGUAGUGGUUUCUGAUAUCAUCAGGAUUCAAUGCUUGAAGCACAUAUGGGCCAUUAUUUUGAUGUUCCACUUAGUGGCAGAUCAUGUUACAAAGGCAGAAGCUUCAGUGUGAUUUUUGCUGAAGCUAAAAAAAUUUACAGUAUUAUCUAGUCUGGAAUGGAAUAUAUAUAGAACAUUAUUAAUAUUAUUACAGACAUUUGUCUCAAUUGAUCGACUUCCAAUCAAAGUUCAACAUGACUAGUGAAAAUUAAAACAAAACAAAACAAAACACUAAUGAAAGAAUAGAUUGAAAGAGAGUAAUGAAAAUUAAAACAAAACACUAAUGAAAAUUAAAACAAAACAUACCUUAGUUGAGAUUGAAUUGUUAAUCCCUAAACAGUAAUGGAAGAAGAGAUUGAAGGAGAGAGUGGUGUUGGUGGUGGUGGUGGUGGAAAACUGGAAAUUGAGAUGGAGAAGAGGAAUGAAGAAAGGAGGCGGAUUGAGAUGGAG
rnacentral:lncRNA from 1 species